CACCACAGGACAAGCAGAGAACUGGGCCCAGCCAGCAUGGGUUUAGAAAAGGCAGGUCUCACUUCACCAACCCGUUUGCUUUUAUGUCAAAAGUAAUGCUGCAGCCUUUUGACUAUGACCCAAAUGAGAAGAGUAAACACAAGUUUAUGGUACAAACAACCUAUGCACCACCAAAUAUUAAACAUAUGGAGGCAGUGAUUGUAACAAACCUUCAAGGAGUACCAGACAUUUUACAACAAACCUGCAGCAGUGUUUCAAGAGCUCAGUUGUACUGGGAGCAACAGCUUUUCUCCUGACAGCUCAGGUGAUGGGAUACAAGA